AUAUCAGGGCACUUGGAUCUAGCUGCCAAAUUAAACUGGGAAUUAGAUGCUACAGUGACCCAUGUCACCAUUUCAGAAGGUUUUUUUUAUUUCAAAAUAGGGCCUGGGGUUGUGAGAUCGGUUGCCCACUGUAUGUCCUAUAUGUCAUUAGAUAUCACUCAGAAGAACAAGAAUAUAUUUUAGUGAGUGCCUAUGGGUGACAACACAGUGGUUGUGGUUCUCCCC